CCUCGUUCUCGGAAGAGGUGUAUCUUCUAGGUUACUGUCAAGUGCUUUAUUAGCAGAAUCGUUUUCAGAGGGCAGGGAAAAAGCAAUAAUCCCAACUGGCAGUCCAAAAAUAACCAGAUUGGAGGGUGGAAGGAAAAAGAAGGAAAAGGGAAGACUAAAAUGGAGAGAACAGUCAAGCAUCAAGUAUUGGAACUGACAUCUGAAUUAAAGAGUGUGCAAAAAAUCUCUUCCCUCUUUAACUAUUGGAACAACUAAAAUGGAAAACUGACUAAAAGAGGUGAGUCCUUUCCUCUGAUCAUUCUCCUUGAUCUCUCUCUGCAUUGCUUUUAUUCUUUUUCUCCAGAUCUGCCUCCUGCAAAGGCAGGCAGCCAAAUGAUUUCAAACUCUCAACUGCUU
rnacentral:lncRNA from 1 species